CGGCCCCGGGCCUGCCCGGUCCGCUCCUCGGGCGCUCCGGGCGGGCACUGACAGGACGGCGCAGGCGGACAGAGCAAGGACACGAUCUCCACCAUUUUCCGUGGAAAGCUAUUUCACAGCCUGUGUCAUAUGAAGACAAAACAGAAUGAAAAGCUUAUUUGGACCCUCUUCAGCACUCUACAUGCAGGAAGAGCUUUGUGGAAAACGUAAGAACUCUGAGUAGCAAAAGACAGAAGACGAUGAAGAAAGGAAGGGGAGAAUGACUGAAACCACACUCCACUAAGUGUUACGUAUGAAUUUGCAGAGCUCAUUCCCAGUAAGAUUCAAUUUUGGGAUUUGUAGUUUGGUGUGACAUACGGAUGUCUGAAUACUUCUGGAAAUAAACGCCAUUGGGAAGGACUUCAUUUCAAAUAAAACCCAUGUAUAACAAAUGCCAAAGCUUCCAGCAGUGUUCAACACUCUCUUAUCUCCAGUUGUUCAGAAAAGAAGAUGAGGAUACCUGAAACAUAUGAGAAAGAAGGCACAACAUCUGCUGUGGCAGAUACACCACUGGGAAACAG
rnacentral:lncRNA from 1 species